rnacentral:rRNA from 1 species
UUCCCUACGGGGCGCAGCAGUGAGGAAUAUUGGUCAAUGGUCGGGAGACUGAACCAGCCAAGCCGCGUGAGGGAUGAAGGUACAGAGUAUCGUAAACCUCUUUUGUCAGGGAACAAAGGCGGGGACGUGUCCCCGGAUGAGUGUACCUGAAGAAAAAGCAUCGGCUAACUACGUGCCAGCAGCCGCGGGAAUACGUAGGUGGCAAGCGUUAUCCGGAAUUAUUGGGCGUAAAGAGCGCGCAGGUGGUUAAUUAAGUCUGAUGUGAAAGCCCACGGCUUAACCGUGGAGGGUCAUUGGAAACUGGU